CCAGCCACGUACAACACCACGGGUACCAGAUAGGUGACAACGAGCACCCUGGGAUGCCUGUUGUGGUUGGUCUUCCUCCUCCUCCUCAAAGCCACAUUCCUCCUCUGACUCCUCUUCCUCACAAUCCUCUUCCAGCGUUGCCACAGGUCCAGCAAGCGAUGCUGAUAAGGCUGUUUCUGGUGGUGAUGGUGACCACAACUCUUCCUCUUCCUCUUCACGCUCAUCUAUGGCCUGAUCCAGCACUCUUCGCAGGGCACGCUCCAGGAAGAAAAUAAAUGGUAUGAUGUCGCUGAUGGUGCCUUCGAUGCGACUGACUAG